GGCUUCGUGGUCGAGCGGUAAGGACACUUGCUUCUCACCCUUGGAGCCCCGGGUUCGAUUCCCAGAUGUGACGCCA